GUAUGUCAGUGUGUCUGUGUGUGUAUGUCAGUAUGUCUGUCAUAGACACACACAGACAUACUGACAUACAUACACAAACAGACAU